rnacentral:rRNA from 1 species
UUAUUUCUAGAGGAAAACGAUGGGUACAAAUUUUAACUUUGGAAUCUGAAAAUUCAAAAUUUAGAAGAUUAAUUGAUAAGAGAAAAUGGAGGUCGGUAGUUUUUUAAAAAGCAUCGGUUUAAUAAGCGACGAUUUUACUUUAAUAAAAAUAGGCGCGUUCGUAGAAGCAGUAACACUAAAUUUUUUUGAAAAAGUUAAAUGUACAUUGAUGUGUUAUUUGGAGUGCAAAAUAGGCUAAAUGUCAAAAAUGUAUGUAUUUUAGGUAAAUAGUCACAUAUAAGUGAGAGUUUGAUCCUGGCUCUGAGUGAAUGCUAGCGAUAUGCUUAACACAUGCUAGUUUUAUACAUUUUUUCAAAAUGAAUGGCGUACUGGUGAGUAAUGCGUAAGAAUCUUUAGAUUGUUUAGUUUGAUACUGAUUAAUAUGUUAUUAGAAAAGUAGUUUACAAGGAUUUUGUUUUUGUUUU